AUUGAACGCUGGCGGCAUGCCUUACACAUGCAAGUCGAACGGCAGCACGGGUGCUUGCACCUGGUGGCGAGUGGCGAACGGGUGAGUAAUACAUCGGAACAUGUCCUGUAGUGGGGGAUAGCCCGGCGAAAGCCGGAUUAAUACCGCAUACGAUCUACGGAUGAAAGCGGGGGACCUUCGGGCCUCGCGCUAUAGGGUUGGCCGAUGGCUGUUUAGCUAGUUGGGGGGGUAAAGUGCUUCCAAGGGGACGAGCAGUAGCUGGACUGAGAGGAGGACCGGCGACACGGGAACUGGGACGCGGCCCAGGCUCCUGCGGGAGGCAGCAGUGGGGAACUGUGGACAGUGGGCGAAAGCCUGAUCCAGCGAUGCCGCGUGUGUGAAGAAGACCUUCGGGGUGUGAAGCACUUUUGUCCGGAAAGAAAUCCUUGGCCCUAAUACGGUCGGGGGAUGACGGUACCGGAAGAAGAAGCACCGGCUAACUACGUG
rnacentral:rRNA from 1 species